rnacentral:rRNA from 1 species
GCUUACGGCCAUACCAGCCUGGGUACGCCCGAUCUCGUCUGAUCUCGGAAGCUAAGCAGGGUCGGGCCUGGUUAGUACUUCGAUGGGAGACCGCCUGGGAAUACCAGGUGCUGUAAGCA